UACGGAGGAUGCGAGCGUUAUCCGGAUUUAUUGGGUUUAAAGGGUGCGUAGGCGGUCUGAUAAGUCAGUGGUGAAAGUUUUCAGCUUAACUGGAAAAAUGCCGUUGAUACUGUCAGGCUAGAAUAUGGUUGCUGUGAGUGGAAUGUGUGGUGUAGCGGUGAAAUGCUUAGAUAUCACACAGAAUAUCGAUUGCGAAGGCAGCUCACAAAGCCAUUAUUGACGCUGAGGCACGAAAGUGUGGGGAUCAAACAGG
rnacentral:rRNA from 1 species